rnacentral:lncRNA from 1 species
AUUAUUUUAAUUAAAAUGGUUAAUAAAAAUCUCAUAACCAUUUAAGACGUGUUUGAAAGGGCUAAAUGCCCACAGGAAGUGAUGACUGUUACUGUUUCAUUUGAAAUGAAUAUUGAUGUAUUCACAGCCAUCUGUGAAAUCUGCUGCUGGAUGUGUCCUUGAAAUGUAGCUUUUAUUGCAGAUCGGGAUACAGAUAGCAGUGCUGAUUGCUAAAGUGCCACGUCUGGACUGUCCGCGGUACAGCUGAUCCCUAUUCUGCUGGAUACUGUGAAAGUUCACCUUCUACCACAUCUCCAAGACUCUGGUCUCCAAACGCCUCGUUCUGGAUCUGUGGAAGAGACAGGCGGUGACUCCUGGAAGUAUAGUUUGCAGGUACAAGUUGAUCAGAUCAAGUUGGGUGAUCUGGCUGACUGGACAGUGGAUCUCGGUAAAGUUCAAGCCGGAACUAUGGCCCCUGCUCUAUGAGGUCAUCCUCAGUCUCAUGCAGGACCCCGACCUUGGGAGUCAGAUGUACGUGGGCUGCUUGGUUCAGUACAUUCCUCUUCAUUGGAAGCAGUUUGAAGAACACAACAUGCUCUGCUGUGCCAUCCUCACUACCCUCAUCCAUCUCGUAUGGGAGCGACAAGCCCGAGGGGCCAGGAAUGAAACAGGUAACGAGCCUUUGAAAUGGUUGAGUCAGGUGUUUAGCAUUCUGUCUGUGCUACAAGUGCUCACUUGAACAUCAUGUGCGUACCUUUACCAAUGGGGGCCUGAUUUUC